rnacentral:ncRNA from 1 species
UCAACUGCAAUGAUGAGAAGGAGUAACAAUACUUGAUGCUUAUAGAGAGGAGGUUCUUGGCUGGAAAACCUCUAGAUACAGUAUGUGAAGCAGUCUCGGAGCAAUAAUCUUGAAAUAACUACGGUUAAAUUAGAGAUUAUCGGUAAAUCCGUUAUCUUAAGGCUUUUCCUAUGAGUGACCGUUUAUACGGUAAUUAGGGUGGUACCGCGAGAAUACUCUCGUCCCUACU